AGUGAACGCUGGCGGUAGGCCUAACACAUGCAAGUCGAACGGCAGCACAGUAAGAGCUUGCUUUACGGGUGGCGAGUGGCGGACGGGUGAGGAAUACAUCGGAAUCUACUUUUUCGUGAGGGAUAACGUAGGGAAACUUACGCUAAUACCGCAUACGACCUACGGGUGAAAGCAGGGGAUCUUCGGACCUUGCGCGAUUGAAUGAGCCGAUGUCGGAUUAGCUAGUUGGCGGGGUAAAGGCCCACCAAGGCGACGAUCCGUAGCUGGUCUGAGAGGAUGAUCAGCCACACUGGAACUGAGACACGGUCCAGACUCCUACGGGAGGCAGCAGUGGGGAAUAUUGGACAAUGGGCGCAAGCCUGAUCCAGCCAUACCGCGUGGGUGAAGAAGGCCUUCGGGUUGUAAAGCCCUUUUGUUGGGAAAGAAAAGCAGCAGGUUAAUACCCCGCUGUUCUGACGGUACCCAAAGAAUAAGCACCGGCUAACUUCGUG
rnacentral:rRNA from 1 species